UACGAGGGGGGCAAAUGUUGUUCGGAAUCACUGGGCGUAAAGGGAGCGUAGGCAGGUUUUUAAGUCAGGUGUUUAAUCCCGGGGCCCAACCCCGGACAGGCACUUGAAACUGGGAAUCUUGAAUAGGGGAGAGGUCGGUGGAAUUGGAGGUGUAGCGGUGGAAUGCGUAGAGAUCUCCAAGAACACCCGUUGCGAAGGCGGCCGACUGGACCCAUAUUGACGCUGAGGCUCGAAAGCAUGGGGAGCAAACAGG
rnacentral:rRNA from 1 species